rnacentral:lncRNA from 1 species
CUUCCCCAGGCUUGGUACCUUAGGCUAUCAAGAGAGAAAAAUAAUCACUAGGUACAGCAGUGUGUGCUUGCUGUUUCCAGAAACCAUCUAGAAUUGAGCAUCAAGCUUAGGACUCCGAAUUACAGAACACCCAUCACUGCACAGAUCUACAUCCGAAUAUACAGAACACCCAUCACUGCACAGAUUUCAUCUAAAAAGAUAAUCUGAAGAGAUGUGCUGCCUUGCCUACAGUCAUAAAACAGAAUACCACGGGGAAAUAAAAAUAAGAGUUUGCAUUAUAUCCUGACAUUUCUUAGAGGGCUUAAGUAAAGCCACACAGACCAAGAAGAACCUGGGUGAAGAAAGGAUCAGAAGACCCUAGAGGACACGGCAAACCCACCCAGGGGAAUGGCAUAGCUGUGCGUUGUCACUCCGUCUGAGCAUUUCUCAAAGUGUGGGAAGAGCCAUCCAGAGGAGGGGAAAAGCCACAUCAGUGAGAAGCAAGGAGGGUACAGAGUGAUGACUGACACCCAGGUCCUAAGAAAGCAGUUGUUCUCAACCUUCCCAGAGCUGUGACCCCUGAAUACAGUUCCUCAUGUUGUGCUGACCCCCCAGCCACAGAAUUAUUUUCGUUGCUACUUCAUUAACUGACAUUUUGCUACUCUCGAAAAUCAUAAUGCAAAUAUCUGUGUUGUCUUCGGCAACCCGUGACAGGGUCAUUCGACUCGCUAAGGGGUGGAGACCCACAGGUUGAGAACUGUUGUGCUAAAGCGGGUGGCUGGCUCCUCUCUGCUGAGUACUGCAAGCUCCCACUGAAACCUGUGAUUGGUGACUUGGGGUAGAGGUGGCCAGGGUCUGCUUAUCAAAGCUACCUGUUGCAAUACUAGAAGGAAAACUGAAACACAGACCUAGAAUCUAACCAUUCUCGCAAUAAAGAACCCAUGCACGUGUGCGUGCGUACACAGAAGUCGAAGGAAGAACCUGACUUAUAAUGUUUAAAACAUAAUAAGUGUCCUCUGACCACAAGGUUCAUAUAAGCCGCAGGGCAGUAAGCAUAGCGCUGAAGCCGAAAGCUCAGUCUGCGCCCACAGCUCAGGAGAUGAUAUCCCUGCUCCCCUACACUUGGGGAUACGGACUUCAGCGCCUCCACCUAGAGGAUGACUGUGUCCUCUUAGUCUACCUUCUGUUGUUAUAACUAGAUACUGCUGACUGGGAAAUGUAUUUCUCUCAUCCCCAGAGACCGAGAAACCUAAUAUAAAAGCACUGGCGCUUUGUCAGGGCCCGAUUGCUACACUGUCCCAAGAUGAAAGGUGGUAUGGAAGAGAGAGAGAGAGAGAGAAAACGAGGGGGA